GACGGUGAGAAUUGCCAUCUGCACUCUCCGCCAAUCCCCUCUUGCUCUUCAAACUUGGGGUCCCCGCAGAGUGGGCCCAGCGUUCAGCCCCAAGCUUCUCCGGUUCAGUUCUGGGGGCCGCGGGUCCGGCAUCGGAGACCCGCUCCGCUCCAGGUCGGGCGGGAAUUCGAGGAAGAGGAAAGGCGCGCAGCGGCCCGAGGAGGCGGGGACGCCGCGACGCGGGAAGAAGGGCUCCGGGGCCGGGGGCCUCCGCGAGCUCGGCGCGCCCUGGCCGGCUCCGUGCCGCCGCCGCAGCCUGGGAUAGCCCAGGGGACCCCGCGGCCAGCUCGCCCCCGCGGCCAGCUCGCCCGCGCCCCUCCCCCUGCCAGCUCGGCUGCCGCGGCGCAGGCGUGUGCAGGCGGGGACACCGCGGAGCUUCGGGCCGGCAGAGCGCCGCCGCCGGCCCAGCCAGCCCAGCCCGCCUCGUGCUCGCGUCUCGGAGCCCGUCCCGGACGGCCCCGGCACCAUGCGGAGGGUGAGUGCACGGGGGUGGGGGAGGUGCGGCGAGGCCCUCCGGGCGGGAAGGGUGAGGGCACUGCGGGGCGGGACGUCGGCGGGGAACCGGGGCGCCCCCGGCGGACUAGGGAGGUGAAGGGGCGCCAUGGGUACUGCGAAUCCGCACUCUUCGCGGCAGCGCCGGCACGUCGGAGCCCUGGGCUGGGGCCUGCAAGGUGGGCUGCGCCCGGCGCUCCGCCCCCUGCCUGCGGGCGAGCCCCUUCCCGGGCGCCCCGCACGCCAGCCUGGCUGCCUUCUGCUGCCCAGCGCCCCGCUCCUUCCUCGGGAGCCCGGGCAACUCUGCCGGGCGUCGGUGGGGCUCUCGCACACACCCUAAGGAAGGAGUCAGCCCUUGGUCCGGGCCAGGUGGGCGACCAGUCAAGGCCGGGGCCGGGGUUGGGGGGCAGUGGGGCUCGCCUGAAUGGAUGCUGCGCUCCGGCGUUUGGAAGGCGCGAGUCUCCUCCCAGGCACCGCCCGCCGACGGCGCGCAGCUCCUAUCCCGGGACGCCCUCGGGAGCUGCGGCUGCUGCUUUACCGGCAGGUGUUGGGGGCUCCGCGCUCAGCCCCACCCUCCAGCCAGGGCUGCCUGUGGAAAAAAGAAAAACAGGCUCAGCUAGAGGGGCUCUUCCAUCUCCAGGGACAGCUUGGGGCACUGGUGCUGCUUGCUGUCAGCCUCCGAGAGCGCGCAGGCCCUAG
rnacentral:lncRNA from 1 species